CACGUAGUUAGCCGUGGCUUGCUGGUUAAGUACCGUCAUCUCAAGGCCAGUUACUACCUCAAGUGUUCUUCCUUAACAACAGAGUUUUACGAGCCGAAACCCUUCAUCACUCACGCGGCGUUGCUCCGUCAGACUUGCGUCCAUUGCGGAAGAUUCCCUACUGCUGCCUCCCGUAGGAGUCUGGGCCGUGUCUCAGUCCCAGUGUGGCCGAUCACCCUCUCAGGUCGGCUAUGCAUCGUCGCCUUGGUGAGCCACUAUCUCACCAACUAGCUAAUGCACCGCAGGCCCAUCCAUGAGCGGCAGAUAAAUCCGCCUUUUUAACUUAACUGCUUAUGCAGGAAAGUCGUAUCCGGUAUUAGCUACCGUUUCGGUAGUUAUCCCAAUCUCAAGGGUAGGUUGCCUACGUGUUACUCACCCGUCCGCCGCUCGAUCAUGAGAGCAAGCUCUCAAUCUCGCGCUCGACUUGCAUGUAUUAGGCACGCCGCC
rnacentral:rRNA from 1 species